UACGGAGGGUGCAAGCGUUAUCCGGAUUCACUGGGUUUAAAGGGUGUGUAGGCGGGCUUUUAAGUCAGUGGUGAAAUCUCCGGGCUCAACCUGGAAACUGCCAUUGAUACUAUUAGUCUUGAAUUUUGUUGAGGUAGGCGGAAUAAGUCAUGUAGCGGUGAAAUGCAUAGAUAUGACUUAGAACACCAAUUGCGAAGGCAGCUUGCUAAACAAAUAUUGACGCUGAGGCACGAAAGCGUGGGGAUCAAACAGG
rnacentral:rRNA from 1 species